UUAUGUACUUUCCAAUAAUGUUAAUGCACUGGGUCCCAUUAGAAAACUAUAGUUAAGCGCGCUUGGGCUAGAGUAAUAUUGGAUGGGUGACCUAUUGGGAAGUCUUAGUGUUUUACAUACC
rfam:Picea glauca, whole genome shotgun sequence.